rnacentral:rRNA from 1 species
AGUGAACGCUGGCGGUAGGCCUAACACAUGCAAGUCGAACGGCAGCACAGUAAGAGCCUGCUCUUACGGGUGGCGAGUGGCGGACGGGUGAGGAAUACAUCGGAAUCUACUUUUUCGUGGGGGAUAACGUAGGGAAACUUACGCUAAUACCGCAUACGACCUACGGGUGAAAGCAGGGGAUCUUCGGACCUUGCGCGAUUGAAUGAGCCGAUGUCGGAUUAGCUAGUUGGCGGGGUAAAGGCCCACCAAGGCGACGAUCCGUAGCUGGUCUGAGAGGAUGAUCAGCCACACUGGAACUGAGACACGGUCCAGACUCCUACGGGAGGCAGCAGUGGGGAAUAUUGGACAAUGGGCGCAAGCCUGAUCCAGCCAUGCCGCGUGGGUGAAGAAGGCCUUCGGGUUGUAAAGCCCUUUUGUUGGGAAAGAAAAGCAGCAGGUUAAUACCCCGCUGUUCUGACGGUACCCAAAGAAUAAGCACCGGCUAACUUCGUG